rnacentral:lncRNA from 10 species
AACCCACACACGACCGGUCGGAGGCAGAACGGUAGCCCCUCGGCGGCCGGCCGGCGCACGCGUCACCAGCCCAAGCCCACCGCGAUCGCUCACAGGGCCCGUGCGCACCCGCCAGAGGGGAGCACCGGACGUGCGCUCGCCGGACCAGGCGGGCGCCCUUCCCCGCGUGGGAGGGGCGCGUCUCGUCUCACUCAACCGCCUCGAACCCCACACCGACGAGCUCCCUCAGGACCCACGCGCGGACACCGAGGCGCCGACCGGAGGAGGGGGCGCUGGGGGUGGGAACGACACACCACCGCUCGGCCUCGGGAACCUGAGGGACAACCCGGAGCGCUCCAGGAGCACCGCAAAGGCCCAGGGGGAGCCAACGCUCGCGCAAACUCCCCGGGAGGGCAGCACGACGGGCCGGCGGGACAGCACCCCCACCGCUGCGGAGGGGGGCCGCCCGCAAGUCGACAACCACAGGAGGCGAGAGCGAGGGGUGCCUGCCGCGUCAGAGGACCCCCCGACCCACCCCGCGAGGCAGAAGGCGGGGGCGGGACAGCGAGGUCAGGCCGGGUUCCGCACCCCAUGCCUUCCCAACGCACCACCCGCAGGCGAGGAAGAGGAGAGACAAGGGGCCCCCGCGGGCGGGACGAGAAGAAGGGUCCCAUUCGCCACGAAUGUCCGCCCCUCGCCCGUCGCGGCUCGGACACGGCCAGGGAGAGCAUGACAUCACCAUAUUCUAUUCUUACAAGAGUGCUGCCACUUUAGGGUUGCAGUUGACCACAGCC